rnacentral:lncRNA from 1 species
CUGAUUUUGAUUUUAUUCUGAGGAUUCUCUUUUUUUUUAACAGUUGCCUAUAAAAUGGUCAAUAAUUUAGAAAUUAUGUAAUGAUAGAAAAUCGUGUUCAAAUCAUUUAAAUAUUCUUUUAGAGUUCAGUGUUCUAUAAUUACAUGUACCAUUUGAUGCUAAAAGAGCGUCUGAACUUCGUGCAGUGCACAGUAUACACUAUCACAGUGUUGAUGUUUGUGUCUGUCAUGCUGAGUUGUCCUCAGUUGAUCAGGUUUUUGUCACUGCAGCAGGUCAGGGUUUCUGGUCAUUCUGGUCACACUUUAACAUAAUCUUUACCCCGACACCCUGACGGUUGGUCUCAAAGGCCUGAACCGCUUGUUCCAGAGGGAAACGGUGCGUCACAAGGGGCUUCACGUUCACUUUACCUGAAGCCACCAUGGCUAUGGCAGUUGGCCAACUGCAACACAAAGACAAAUAUUUCAGAUGUUUGGGAUACUAAACAAUCACUGGAAGGUUUAUCGUGUAAUUAUUAGUAUCUGUAAACCAAACCAAAAGCUUAGUUACUUUUAUCAUCGGCCUCAGAACAUCUGCUGACACCACCAGAGGAGCAAGCAAGGGAGAAUUUCUUACGUGUUGCAGUAGCGGAAAACCCCUCUGAUGUCCACUUCUCUGAUAGCCGCAUUAACCAGCGGAACAGUGACCAUCUCUGCACCCAGACCCACCAGCGCCACCACACCACCUGAACGAACUGCCUGAGAAGAAGAAAAAAACACAGAACAAUUUCAAAUCAUGUGAUUUAUGUCAGAUUUUUAAAUCAAGAUUAAGACAUACAGCUAAAUAACGGCUGCACCAUACUGAUCAACUAUAAAUACUGUAGAAAAGUCCAGCGCCUGAAUGAAUUCUCUAUUGUCUCCAGUUUAUGCAUUGAUGCUUACUUGUUUUGAAUACAACUUCUAAUGCUCUUUAUAAAGGAUAUUCACAUACAUAUAUGGCAGUUUGCAUGCUGCUCUCGACUCCAGUGCAUUCAAUAGUGAUGUGAGGCUGAGCGCCCAGCAUGUCUGCAACACUCUGAGCCAGCUGCUGGGGUCCGUCUCCUCUUGUCACUGUCAGCUGGAAGUCUGCCCCCAACUCUUUGGCCAUUGCGAGGCGCUCUGAGGACAGAUCUGAAUACAAGGUACGAGGUUUCACAAACAUUAUUGUGAAUAAAAAUAAUAAUGACAAGGACAACUACAAGAACCUGUUUCUUGACAAUGGUCAUUUCAGUUCAGAUGUAUUUUCUGCGAGUUACCAGUGAUGACAACUUGUGAUGCUCCCAUGGCUUUGGCUACGAGCAAACAAACCAACCCAAUCGGUCCUGUGGAGAAAGGACGAAUAAAGGAGAUGCUCCGACUGCAGAGACAGCUGAAUAUUGGCUAAUGUAACACUUAUAGAUACAGUCUAUUCUAACAGCAUGAGUGAAGACAUUCAACGCUCGAACGAGACUAACAUUUCAUAACUAAUAUCCGCAGUAUAGCUGUAACCUGCAACUAUAUCCGAAUUGAAAACCUCAAGUGUUUCAUCUGUUGUUGCUUCAUGGAAUCGUCUCAAAUGUUUCCUAUUAGCUUGUUUUCACAGCAGAGGGGGUUUGUUAAAUAUUAAGACCCUAACAAGGUGUGUUCAGGUUCAGCAGCUUCUCACUCAGAUUUUGUUGAGUCAGUAUGAUUCUCAGGUUUGUGAAUACACCCACAGAGUGUUGAACCAAAUUUUAUUAUUUAUUUUUAUUUAUUAAAUAUUGCAAUCACCUCCUUUAUAUCGGAUUGCAUCAUGCUCUGAAAGGCAGUCUGCAGUACUUUCUCAAUGCAAAAAUUUAAUGCAGGUUUAAUAGUUCUCACCUGCACCACAGAUGAGCACACUGCUGCCGAGGGUCACACCUGCUCUGCGACAGGCGUGGAUCCCCACAGACAGAGGUUCAAUUAGAGCUCCCUCUUCGAAUGUCACAUUGUCAGGCAACCUGAUUUGUUACAAUGAGAGGAACAAAGAGGAGAGAAAGAGAAGGAUGUAAAAGUGAAGCAAGAGGCAGUUGGAGGAAGAUAUAAGGCAGUGGUGGAGUAAUCUUUUGCAGCGUGGCUAUGAAAUCCUGAACAGACUGUUACUUGUAGCAGAAGUCGGCGCUGUGGGUGUAAUAUCGGCACAGAUUUCCAUCAUCAGGGGGAGUGGCGCAGAAGAAGAUGGUUGGAGAUAUGUUGUAUCGUCCAUUUUUGAAGAACUCGUCCAUUUCACGGGGAACGCCAGGCUCGAUGGCAACUCUGUCACCUUCAGGACACAAGGCGAGAUUAAAAAGCCGGUGUUAGUUUGUCAUAGUAUCUCUAUUACAGUGAGGCUGAGUGGAAACUUAUUCAUAUGGAGUGAAAUCGGUCACAAAUGGUUGAAAUGACAACUUUUAAAAAGACAAGAGUUUAGAAAAAGAUUAUAAUAACUUUAUUUGUAUAGCACUUUUGAAAAACAGAAGUUGACAUGUAGUUGUGGAGCACAUGGAAAAAGACAAAAUUAAAAAGCUCAGUUAAAACGGUAUUGAAGGCCAUUUUCAUGCCAUAAGGAACCCAGACAAUACAAGAACCAUGCAACAUAAAAUGACACCAUGAAGACCAAAAUAAAAACAUGAAAUAGUUAAGAAAAAAGGAUAAUGCAAUUAAAAGGGAGGACGAAAGCGAGAACAGGAUAGUAAAUAUAAAAGGCAAUAUCAACAAUGGUAAUUAAAUAAUAACAACAGGUAAUCCUGAUAAUAAAAGUAAUGAUAAAAUAGAGCAACAGAAAUGAGCAAGAGAUAAAACGAUAAAAGGCCUAAAAGGUUAAUUAAGAAAAGAGUACAAGUAAAACAAAAGCUAAAAAGACAGUAAGGCCGAAAUAAGAUUGAGGUAAAAGAGAUAAGAGAUGAUAAAAGAUGUAAAAGUUUCUGAAUCUCCCUUUGCUGUGUGACAUACACUCACCGGCCACUUUAUUAGGUACACCAUGCUACUAACGGGUUGGACCCCCUUUUGCCUUCAGAACUGCCUCAAUUCUUCGUGGCAUAGAUUCAACAAGGUGCUGGAAGCAUUCCUCAGAGAGCUUGGUCCAUAUUGACAUGAUGGCAUCACACAGUUGCUGCAGAUUUGUCGGCUGCACAUCCAUGAUGCGAAUCUCCCGUUCACCACAUCCCAAAGAUGCUCUAUUGGAUUGAGAUCUGGUGACUGUGGAGGCCAUUUGAGUACAGUGAACUCAUUGUCAUGUUCAAGAAACCAGUCUGAGAUGAUUCCAGCUUUAUGACAUGGCGCAUUAUCCUGCUGAAAGUAGCCAUCAGAAGUUGGGUACAUUGUGGUCAUAAAGGGAUGGACAUGGUCAGCAACAAUACUCAGGUAGGCUGUGGCGUUGCAACGAUGCUCAAUUGGUACCAAGGGGCCCAAAGAGUGCCAAGAAAAUAUUCCCCACACCAUGACACCACCACCACCAGCCUGAACCGUUGAUACAAGGCAGGAUGGAUCCAUGCUUUCAUGAUGUUGACGCCAAAUUCUGACCCUACCAUCCGAAUGUCGCAGCAGAAAUCGAGACUCAUCAGACCAGGCAACGUUUUUCCAAUCUUCUAUUGUCCAAUUUCGAUGAGCUUGUGCAAAUUGUAGCCUCAGUUUCCUGUUCUUAGCUGAAAGGAGUGGCACCCGGCGUGGUCUUCUGCUGCUGUAGCCCAUCUGCCUCAAAGUUUGACGUACUGUGUGUUCAGAGAUGCUCUUCUGCCUACCUUGGUUGUAACGGGUGGUUAUUUGAGUCACUGUUGCCUUUCUAUCAGCUCGAACCAGUCUGGCCAUUCUCCUCUGACCUCUGGCAUCAACAAGGCAUUUCCGCCCACAGAACUGCCGCUCACUGGAUAUUUUUUCUUUUUCGGACCAUUCUCUGUAAACCCUAGAGAUGGUUGUGCAUGAAAAUCCCAGUAGAUCAGCAGUUUCUGAAAUACUCAGACCAGCCCUUCUGGCACCAACAACCAUGCCACGUUCAAAGUCACUCAAAUCACCUUUCUUCCCCAUACUGAUGCUAGGUUUGAACUGCAGGAGAUUGUCUUGACCAUGUCUACAUGCCUAAAUGCACUAAGUUGCCGCCAUGUGAUUGGCUGAUUAGAAAUUAAGUGUUAACGAGCAGUUGGACAGGUGUACCUAAUAAAGUGGCCGGUGAGUGUAUAGUCUCCAGUAUUUAACAGCUUCCAGACACGCCCACUCACCUACUUUCAGAUGCUUGGCUGCAGCUCCGACCUUCACCACCCGCCCUGAUGCCUCAUGGCCCAGCACCAUAGGUUUUUUAACCACAAAAUCCCCGAGCCGUCCGUGCUGCCAGAAACGAACGUCUGAUCCACAAAUUCCCACAGAGUGCAUCUGCAGCAAAACCUCUGGAAAAGGAAAAAACAGGACACACAUGACAAAAAGCAAUGUUUGCAACCUGAUCAUAAAAACAAAACCUCAGCUUUGGCUCAGUAAAGAUACUUUCUCUGGAGGUAAAAAUAUGCUCCAUGAAAUUAAGUGCAUGAAGUUGAAGCAGAACAGCCUGGACGUGCUCUAGCUUUGAGAUGGUUUUGCAGUAAGACACACAUCUUCAACAUUUUAAGAGUUUAUUUUGUAAUGUUUGUAAAAGUAGACUGUCAUACUGCACCAUUAGGUCCUGGCUCCGGGACAGGGCGAUUUUCCUUUGAGAAAUGAACAAAAUCAAAAGGAAAAAAAUGUGCAUUUAGAUGGUUUCAUACGAGCUACAACUUAUUUUGUUCACCACAUAAUAUAAAAGUCUGUGCCGGUCUCUUACCAGUCUGAGGUCUCCCUUUGAGUGCAGCACUAAAGACAGAUUUUCCUGCGCCAUGACGGAUGAGCCAGAGAGCGAGAGAGGAGGAUAAACCUGACAGGGACUCGGUUAAAACUUCAGAUCACAGACAAACCUCCUCCUUAUUCUACAUGUGCCCAGACAGCAGCACCAGCAGCGUGAAUAUAACUUCCGGAAAAUGAGGGCGGUACCAAAACAAAGACCCAUGGCACGGUCUAUUUAGGAGGGGUGGAACCAAUCCGUGUGUUAAUGAGAUUUUACUCAGAUAAUGACAAUUUAAGUCCUGACAACGCUUGAAAUACCUUUAAAACAAAUUGGUAUCCAUCGAAAGAUGUUAUUAAGCCUGCUUUGUCAAUAUGUGUUUUUGUUAUUUGGCGAAACACACUCUCAAAUGCCGUUUGAAUACGUUCAAAUCAGAUUAUCGCUAAGCCCCGCCCCUCAGACGCAGAUGAGCCAAUGGUAGUUUAGUAUCAUUUUAACCGGGACUGUAAAACUCUGGAACAUCUGUAGCUUUUUAGUUCAAUUGAGAAGCAGUAAAAGUCGUGAUAUUUGACCUGUUUUGUGUCGUUAAUUUUAAUAUAACAGAAAGAAACAUGAUUAAAAAUAAAGGUGUGCAAAGAGUAGCGACACAAGCAAUCCUGACAGGAUGGGCAGUGGGGUGAAUUUCACUCCAUUUACAAAAGAAAGACCCAAGUAAACGUCUGCGAUGGAUGACGUUGUGUGUCAGACAAACAGCCAACUUAACGUCCAGAAGAUCAACAAGGAUGUCUACGUUUGUUCUAAGGCAAGUUACACCAACGAAGCUUUAAAUCUACAACCUUUACCGACAGUUAUUUCAUCGUCAUUAGCGAUGUAGUAACUUUCGACUCUGGUGCUAAUGUUAGCCCAGGUUAGCACAAUUUUAAAUAUAAACGGUAGAUGGAUUACGCACGCUGUUAGCCAAUGGAGACCGACAUCCGCAUCCGGCGGCCAUUUCGCUAUCGGACGCUCGCCCACUCAUUACAUUACAGUCUACGGUGCAUGUAGCAUUUAAAUAGCCAGGAAUUGCUUAAUUUUGAACCGAUUUUCAAACGGUUUGGUUUGUAACGAACCUCAGAGUUUUACUUAUGUUCCUCUGUACUCAAAAAUAAUUUUAACCAUGGAUUUUCAUAAAUAAACAUUAAACAAAUAGGUAGAGCAAUAGCUAUAGGUCUACGCGCACACACACACACACACACACACACACACACACACACACACACACACACACACACACACACACACACACACACAAGGCAGUUACAUUAAACCAUUUAUAUAAAGAACAUUAAAACAUUCCAUGUAUGUCGUAUUAGUAAUAUUUCUAUUAUAGGGACAACUAUAUUAACAUAUAGCAAUAACAGUAUUUUUGAUCAUGCAGAUUACUCAUCUAAUUUUAAAUUCUGGAUAUAUCCCUCCAUGACAUAGUAAAGUCCAUUUUGAUGGCUUCUCGGAGACUUCAGGUGUUUUUGUGCCCAGAAUUUGUCAAGACCGUCUUGGUCUUGGCAUUUGACACUGAUAGCCACCAUUGUAAAGCACUGCUCAGCUGUCCAAGUUAGCAACAGGAGACUUGGCGCUGUUUUACAUAAUCUUUGACAUGAUACUGAAUGUGUUUCAUCAGUAUCCUGUUUGACUUGUGUGAUUAUUUUUGCACUAUUUGCUUUGUUUGCCUGUUGUAAUGUGAUGUUUUUUCCCUCACUUCAUGUCAAACUGCUUAUGAACCACACAGUUUUAAAUCCUGUUACACUUUAAAUAAUGACCUGGGGUACUCAGUUUAUGGUAAGGGGGAAAGUCUAUCUUGACCUGUGUGACACUUGAAAAAGUUUCUUGGAGGGUAAUUAGUUCAAUCAGUAGGUAAACCUACUUUGAGGUAUAAACCUUGAUCUGGAGAUGAGUCACUUACAAUAAAUGUUGUCUUGUGCCUGAAGCACACUACUUAAAAACCAGACAAACUUGUUCUUCAACAUACACUCAGACACAGUUUACUCGCUGUUAGCUUGUUGGUUUUGUUAGCUUGGCCUUAAGUCAGAUCUUUUAAUCUAAGUUAACAUUAUGUAUAUUAUCAGUCAAUGGUAAAUUAGCCACUUGCAGCUAAAAGGUUUGAUAGGGAAUAUUGAGCAAGUUAAUCAUUAGCAAGCCAUUUAUUUCUCCCAAAGCCUUUUCUUUUAUACUGCUCUGUUGUUGAGUAUUUACAGCUGCAUUCAAGUUCAGAGAAAGGCUGUAGUAAACUUUAACUUAAGUCAAAACAGAGAAAUAAGCGAGGUUAAGACUGGCUUGGAGGGGUUUUUGAUUACAUGACUAUAGUGCACAAUUUUUAGCGCUUGUUGAACAAUUCAUUUUUCUGUUUUCUGACCACAAGAGGCAAUACUCUAGUUUAGCACAGGGUCAGAAAGUUUGUAUUUUAGAAUACAAUCAAACCACAGCUCUUAUUUGCAAACCAAUUUCAAAAUAUGUGUCAACAUUUUGAUUAUCUAAGAUGACAAAAAUAUGAAAAUCAUUGGGCUAUGAAAAAAAAACAAAAAACAAAUCCCCCAUUCUCUUUAAUGCAUUAUCAAAGGUUUGGACAUAGACUGUUAAUAAGAUGGAUGUCAUAUUAUGACUUUACACACAUGACUUGAAAAUUAAAUUAAUGUAAAAAUAAAUUCAGAGCCGAAUGGUGCAGUGAUACACCACAAUUGUUAGACUUCAGGUCCACUUUUUCUGAAAAGUUUUUUUUAUGAGUUAUUGCAGUUAUAAAAAACAUAUUUUACAACAUAUUUUUGAAACACCAGUUGGUUUGUUUUUUCUCUGUAAAAACGUCAGAAUUAAGUUCUUAAACAUAAACUUUAAGGUAUUUUCAAAUCCAACAAUGUAGAGUACAUGCUGUAUAACUCCACCACCAGUUUGUACAAACCUACUGUAUCUAUUUUCUCCGAAUCUCUGAUACCACCUAGUGGCCAUUUCUGAGACACCAAAGAAGAGAAAGGAGUCCAUGAUAUUUUCUGAUUUUGAUUUUAUUCUGAGGAUUCUCUUUUUUUAACAGUAGUUGCCUAUAAAAUGGUCAAUAAUUUAGAAAUUAUGUAAUGAUAUAAAAUCGUGUUCAAAUCAUUUAAAUAUUCUUUUAGAGUUCAGUGUUCUAUAAUUACAUGUACCAUUUGAUGCUAAAAGAGCGUCUGACCUUCGUGCAGUGCACAGUACACACUAUCACAGUGUUGAUGUUAGCUGGUCCCUUUAAGCUAGAUCUGUUAUCUUUCUCUAGGUCAAAGUCCUGUGUGUGUGUUUGUGUGUGGGAUGUUUGUGUCUGUCAUGCUGAGUUGUCCUCAGUUGAUCAGGUUUUUGUCACUGAAGCAGGUCAGGGUUUCUGGUCAUUCUGGUCAC